GUGCCAGCAGCCGCGGUAAUACGUAGGGUGCGAGCGUUAAUCGGAAUUACUGGGCGUAAAGCGUGCGCAGGCGGCGCCAUAAGACAGCUGUGAAAUCCCCGGGCUUAACCUGGGAACUGCGGUUGUGACUGUGGUGCUUGAGUGCGGCAGAGGGGGGUGGAAUUCCACGUGUAGCAGUGAAAUGCGUAGAGAUGUGGAGGAACACCGAUGGCAAAGGCAGCCCCCUGGGUUGACACUGACGCUCAUGCACGAAAGCGUGGGGAGCAAACAGGAUUAGAUACCCUGGUAGUCCACGCCCUAAACGAUGCGAACUAGGUGUUGGGGAAGGAGACUUCUUUAGUACCGUAGCUAACGCGUGAAGUUCGCCGCCUGGGGAGUACGGUCGCAAGAUUAAAACUCAAAGGAAUUGACGG
rnacentral:rRNA from 1 species